AUCUAGCUAACGAGUUCCAAAUAGAACGAAACACGCGUCCUAAAU
rnacentral:hammerhead_ribozyme from 1 species